GCUGGGCGUGGUGGCGCACGCAUGUAAUCCCAGAGGUCUGGGAGGCUGAGGCAGGAGGAUCUCGAGUUCAAAGCCAGCCUCAGCAAAAGCCAGAUGCUAAGCAACUCAGUGAGACCCCGUCUCUA
rnacentral:sRNA from 1 species